GGAGGAAUACCCAAGUCCGGCUGAAGGGAUCGGUCUUGAAAACCGACAGGCGGGUUAAACCGCGCGGGGGUUCGAAUCCCUCUUCCUCCG
rfam:Bacillus pseudalcaliphilus strain DSM 8725 super25, whole genome shotgun sequence.